CAGGGGCUAGUCUAAAUAAGACCGCCAAUUUCGACUUGGUAAAUCCUGAAUUAAUCCAGGGCCCUAA
rnacentral:tRNA from 1 species